ACGCGAAACCUUUACACUGCACGACAGUGCGAUAAGGGGAUCCCGAGUGCGAGGGCAUACAGUCCUCGCUUUUCGUGACCGUAAGGUGGUCUCAGAAUAAGGGCUGGGCAAGACCGGUGCCAGCCGCCGCGGUAAUACCGGCAGCCCGAGUGAUAGCCACUCUUAUUGGGCCUAAAGCGUCCGUAGCUGGCCGAACGGGUCCGUCGGGAAAUCCACCCGCUUAACGGGUGGGCGUCCGGCGGAAACCAGUCGGCUUGGGACCGGAGGACCUGCGGGGUACGUCUGGGGUAGGAGUGAAAUCCUGUAAUCCCAGACGGACCACCGGUGGCGAAAGCGCCGCAGGAGGACGGAUCCGACAGUGAGGGACGAAAGCUUGGGUCUCGAACCGGAUUAGAUACCCCCGUAGUCC
rnacentral:rRNA from 1 species